rnacentral:rRNA from 2 species
CUCAGAUCAUGUAAGAUUUUAAUGAUCGAACAGAUCAAAAUUUUAAACUUUUGCAUUUAAAUUUUAUCUUAAUCCAACAUCGAGGUCGCAAACUUUUUUUUUUAUUUGAACUAAAAAAAAAUAUUACGCUGUUAUCCCUAAGGUAAUUUUUUCUUACAAUCAUUAUUAAUGGAUCAUUUAAUCAUUUAUUUAUGUUUAAUUUUUAAAAAAAGUUAAUUUAAUUUUUCUAUCACCCCAAUAUAAUAAUUAAUUUUAUUUUAAUAAAAAUUUUUAUAUAGUUUUAAAAUAAAAAUAAAUAUAAAACUCUAUAGGGUCUUCUCGUCUUUUAAAAUUAAUUUAGCUUUUUAACUAAAAAAUAAAGUUCUAAAAAUAAAUAAGAGACAGUUUAUAUUUCAUCAAAUCUUUCAUACAAGUUUUCAAUUAAAAAACUAUUGAUUAUGCUACCUUUGUACAGUCAUUAUACUGCAGCCCUUUAAUUACUAUCAGUGGGCAGAUUAGACUUUAAAUUAUAUUCAAAAAGACAUGUUUUUG